rnacentral:rRNA from 1 species
GAUGAACGCUGGCGGCGUGCUUAACACAUGCAAGUCGAGCGAGGAAUCACCUUCGGGUGUGAACUAGCGGCGGACGGGUGAGUAACACGUGGGCAACCUGCCUUACAGAGGGGGAUAGCCUUCCGAAAGGAAGAUUAAUACCGCAUAUUAUGAGUUUUCUGCAUGGGGAAUUCAUGAAAGGAGUAAUCCGCUGUAAGAUGGGCCCGCGGCGCAUUAGCUAGUUGGUGAGGUAACGGCUCACCAAGGCGACGAUGCGUAGCCGACCUGAGAGGGUGAUCGGCCACAUUGGGACUGAGACACGGCCCAGACUCCUACGGGAGGCAGCAGUGGGGAAUAUUGCACAAUGGGGGAAACCCUGAUGCAGCAACGCCGCGUGAGUGAUGAAGGCCUUCGGGUUGUAAAGCUCUGUCUUCAGGGACGAUAAUGACGGUACCUGAGGAGGAAGCCACGGCUAACUACGUGCCAGCAGCCGCGGUAAUACGUAGGUGGCGAGCGUUAUCCGGAUUUACUGGGCGUAAAGGAUGCGUAGGUGGAUUUUUAAGUGAGAUGUGAAAUACCCGGGCUCAACCUGGGAACUGCAUUUCAAACUGGAAGUCUAGAGUGCAGGAGAGGAAAGCGGAAUUCCUAGUGUAGCGGUGAAAUGCGUAGAGAUUAGGAAGAACACCAGUGGCGAAGGCGGCUUUCUGGACUGUAACUGACACUGAGGCAU